rnacentral:rRNA from 1 species
AGAAUCAACGCUGGCGGCGUGCCUCAGACAUGCAAGUCGAGCGCGAAAGUCCCCUUCGGGGGAUGAGUAGAGUGGCGCACGGGUGAGUAACACGUAGGUAAUCUACCUUCGGGUGGGGAAUAACCCAGGGAAACUUGGGCUAACACCGCAUAAUGCAGCGGCACCACAUGGUGACAGUUGUUAAAGCGGGGGAUUUUAGGACCUCGCGCCUGAAGAGGAGCCUGCGGCAGAUUAGCUAGUUGGUAAGGUAACGGCUUACCAAGGCGACGAUCU